rnacentral:tRNA from 1 species
GCCCGGAUGGUGGAACUGGUAGACACGCGAGACUUAGAAUCUCGUGCCGCAAGGCGUACAGGUUCGAAUCCUGUUCCGGGCA